UACGGAGGGUGCGAGCGUUGUCCGGAAUCAUUGGGCGUAAAGAGCUCGUAGGCGGUUUGUCGCGUCUGCUGUGAAAUCCCGAGGCUCAACCUCGGGCUUGCAGUGGGUACGGGCAGACUAGAGUGCGGUAGGGGAGACUGGAAUUCCUGGUGUAGCGGUGGAAUGCGCAGAUAUCAGGAGGAACACCGAUGGCGAAGGCAGGUCUCUGGGCCGCAACUGACGCUGAGGAGCGAAAGCAUGGGGAGCGAACAGG
rnacentral:rRNA from 1 species